rnacentral:rRNA from 1 species
UACGGAGGGUGCGAGCGUUAAUCGGAAUCACUGGGCGUAAAGCGCGCGUAGGCGGCUUUUCAAGUCAGGGGUGAAAUCCCACGGCCCAACCGUGGAACUGCCUUUGAAACUGUAGAGCUUGAGUGUCGGAGAGGGUGGCGGAAUUCCAGGUGUAGGAGUGAAAUCCGUAGAUAUCUGGAGGAACACCGGUGGCGAAAGCGGCUCUCUGGCCUGUAACUGACACUGAGGCUCGAAAGCGUGGGGAGCAAACAGG